GGGGUAGUAGUUAAAUAUAACAUUUGGGUUGCAUCUAAAAAGUACUGUAUAACAGUCUAUCUCA
rnacentral:tRNA from 1 species